rnacentral:rRNA from 1 species
AUACGGAGGAUCCGAGCGUUAUCCGGAUUUAUUGGGUUUAAAGGGUGCGCAGGCGGCCAUUUAAGUCAGCGGUUAAAUCGUGGGGCUCAACCCCAUUCUGCCGUUGAUACUGGGUGGCUUGAUUGCGGUCGAGGUUGGCGGAAUUCGUUGUGUAGCGGUGAAAUGCAUAGAUAUGACGAAGAACACCGAUUGCGAAGGCAGCUCAAUAGACUGUUAAUGACACUGAUGCUCGAAAGUGUGGGUAUCAAACAGGAUUAGAUACCCUGGUAGUCCACACAGUAAGCGAUGAAUACUCGCUGUUUGCGAUAUACAGUAAGCGGCCAAGCGAAAGCAUUAAGUAUUCCACCUGGGGAGUACGCCGGUAACGGUGAAGCUCAAAUGAAUUGGCGGGG